rnacentral:lncRNA from 1 species
UUCAACCAUGGAUUAAAAUGCCAUAAGUCUUUUCUCCAAGAAAUUAAUUGCUCUUGAUUAACCGAUCUAUCACAAGAUUAUAUCAUAAACAAUUCUAAUCCACCCUUAGUAGAAUUUCAUCAAAGUCGAUUGAUAACCUCAAUUUCUUUCAAUCAGACAGAGGGUUGAUAUUAAUUGAAGAGGUACAAGCUUUAGAUUUAGGAGAAGACAUGAUCCAAGAUCAAAAUUGAUGAUCCAUUAAUUCUAGUCUUAAGAUGCUUAGUAUUUUCUUAGCACGACAUCAAAUUGGAGAACCUAGGAUAGUGCAGCGAUAUCCAAGUAUCAGAACAUUUGCUUUUCGUUUAUCAAAAAAAAUCUUACUACACAAGGAAAUAGAUCAAUUCUUUUGUUUUUAAAACUUGCCAAAUCAAAAAGAUAAUACUUCUGAUCAGCUUAAAAAAGAUAAUUCAGACCACUACGCUUUCGCUGCGCACUCUGAUUCAAACUACCAAAAUCCUUUGCAUUCACUAAUAACUUUUGAUCAAAAUACAACUUAUAUUAUGAACUAAAGAGAUCGAAAUUUCAAUUCAACUCCUAUAAGUAAAACAUCCAGAAGAAUUUUCGCAUUGCUCCACCAAGUUAAAAGACCUUAAACGACACAAAUGAGUAAAACCGACUCGAUCAUCUCUCCAGAGUUUCCUUCACUGAGAUCUUUAGCAUUUAUUAGAAAACUUCCAUCAUAAUCAUGUAAGCCUCUAAAAUUCAAAUUCUUUAUGCAAAUCUAGGUUUUAUCAGCAACGGCAACAAUAUUGACAGAAGACCCUAGAUCGGCUUAUAAAUCCAAACUUUGAAUUAAAGUUUCAUAUACAUUACAUAGUUUUCGAUAAACAUGAACAAGAUCUAUUAUUUGGAUCCAAAGACGAUAAUUUAAAUUAUUAAUAAUUCCACCGAGAUGAAUACUUUACAAUCUCCAAUAAAAUUAUCACUUCAAGAUUGAUAAUUAUUCCUUAAUUCUGUCAAAAGCAUAAGCUAUAAAUUUAAGAGAAAAGAGAUCUAGGCUAAAACAUUUCAAAUCCAAGAUCAGCUAAUGCAAGAACCAUUAAUCCUAGACUUGGGAUGCUAGAUUUCUCUCUCUUCUCUCUUUUUUUUUUUACAACAGAUAGAAGAACCUACUAAUAUCAUGAUAAUAUCGAGUUAAAAUCAAAAACACUAAUUCUUUUUUUUUUGACAACGAAAUUCUCCUUAACAAGGAAACCCAUCAGAAAAUAUUUUUCAAUCACAGAGUUAAUAUCGUUGAUCAUCUUAAAAUAAUUUAAACAACCAAUAUUCUCAUAAUUUACUAAAUCACUUCAAAUCAAAAUCCCAAUCUACAUUGUAAUUUGAAAAGAU